rnacentral:rRNA from 1 species
GACGAACGCUGGCGGCGUGCUUAACACAUGCAAGUCGAACGGUGAAGCGCCUUCCUUUUUGGUGGGUGUGGAUGAGUGGCGAACGGGUGAGUAACACGUGAGUAACCUGCCCCCUUCUUCUGGAUAACCGCAUGAAAGUGUGGCUAAUACGGGAUAUUCUGGGUCUGUCGCAUGAUGGGUCUGGGAAAGAUAUUGUUUCGGUGGGGGAUGGGCUCGCGGCCUAUCAGCUUGUUGGUGGGGUGAUGGCCUACCAAGGCGGUGACGGGUUGCCGGCCUGAGAGGGUGGACGGUCACACUGGGACUGAGACACGGCCCAGACUCCUACGGGAGGCAGCAGUGGGGAAUAUUGCACAAUGGGCGCAAGCCUGAUGCAGCGACGCCGCGUGAGGGAUGGAGGCCUUCGGGUUGUGAACCUCUUUCGCCAGUGAAGCAGGCCUGCCUCGUUUGUGGGUGGGUUGACGGUAGCUGGAGAAGAAGCGCCGGCUAACUACGUG